rnacentral:ribozyme from 14 species
CAAACAAACAUGGAAUAAAUUGUUCUCCUUUUUUCUGACUUUUUUUUUCUUCUUUUUCUUUUUCUGUCGUUCUCCUUUUGUCUCUCUCCUUUUGUGGAAUUU